rnacentral:lncRNA from 1 species
AAAUCUGAAAAUUAGACCUUAGAGAUUUUAUGAGAGAAAAUUUCAGGAAAAACAAAAAACAACUGGAAAAUUUGCUAAAAUUACUGUUCCAUUGAAUUUCUUCUGUAAUUCUUGAGGUUUUUUUCCAAUUUCUGAAGUGAUUCCUGAUUUACCUGGGGUUGAAAUGGAUUGAACUUAGGUUUUGAAUAAUUUUGGGUUGAGUUUCUGCUGUCAGUCUACUGUUCCAAUGGGUUUGUUGAGCUGAUUUCACUAUUUUAUUGUUGAAUCUGGGCUUUAGCUAAUUCUGAUGCUGCUUCUUUCCCUAGAUUUAACUUUUUUUCCUUUCAAAUUUCCAGGUACAUGUUCCUAGAUUCAUCUCACAUGAGGUUUGAUAUUGAAAUGAAAUUCAGAGUUCCAAAUGUGGCUUCUGCAUAUUCAAAUCUAUUAGUUUAGUUUCAGUUGUUUAUUGGAGUUAUUUGAUGUUGUAUGCUUAACAUGGGAGCUAUUAGUCAACUUCGAUCUGUUGAAGUUAGUAUAGCCCUUGUAGUAAUUUUACUUACUUCUGAAAUUUUUAUUGUUAUAGCUGAGGUAAGGAAACUUGAUAAAAAUAUUGAUCAUUAGCUAAGUUUUGUGAUUAAGCCAUGUUAGCCAAGUGUACGGUAUUAUGGAAUUGUCAAGGUACUGCAGCAACAUACUUCUUCAAACACCUGAGUUUUAGCCUUAAUUUUGGUUGAAAUAGGUGCUCUUGUUUGUAGGUGAUUUUGUAUUAAAACAACUAUUAUGAUAAUUAUAAGUUAGAGGUGGAGGUGAAUGAUGUAUAGCCUAUUAUGUUUAAUGUAUUGUGAUAUAUCAUUAAAUGCAUAAUUGGUUAUUGUGUGAUGUUCCGUCAUGCAUUCAUGGUAGAUAUAGUCUGAUUUUUUCCUAUCAGUUUGUUUUAAUUGUCAUACAAAUCAGUUAAAUAUUUUGAUGUUGGUAAAAUGAGGUUUUAGAGCACAAUAAGUUUGGGGUUCAAUUUCUAUAGCUGGAUUAUUUUGAGCUUGUAGGGAAUCGACCUAGGAUUCAUACUUUAACAUCUCCCCUUCCCUUGUUAGAUUUGGGCUUAACUUGGGCCCAAAACCUUGAAACCAUUUGAACAUAGACAACAAUAAUCCUUGCUAUCAUGUGUUCUUCAUGGGAUCAAUAUUUAAUUUCAAUGGGCGUGUGUGCAGUCUUGUGUUCUUGCAGGGUGACGAUCAUGAGUCCCAGCAUUACAACUGGCUACAUUUUAAAUAUUGGGCUUCAUGUGUAAUUUAGUUUAAGUCACCGAAAAUCAUUGGUUCGGUAGCAUGCGUAAUAAGUAAUUGGGCUCUCCUUUUGGGCCCAGGGUUGAAAUGGGAUUGGACUUCUGAUUAAUUGUUCUUGCACCGUAAGUUCAAACUUACAUAAAAGGCUUUUGAAUUCCUAGAGUUUUAUUAAUUAGCUUGAUUUUUCUUUUGAGGUGUGCUAUCUUAGAGAAUACGAAUAGUUUAUGGCUCUUAGAACUUUAGCUUGAGUUCCCUAGUAAAAUAAAUUGAGGCGUGUCGUGCCUUACAAAUUUUUUAAAUAUGUGGCGCUCAUUUAAUUAUUUUUUUUUAAAUCCUUAGAACUCGAGGCUUGCCACUUAGCCAAUUUUCUAUGGCCCUCGCAAAGUAAAAAUGCGUAGUUGCUUUAGGCGCGUUAUAUUAAUAAUUAUUUUCCUUAAACUUGGGUGUGAAUUUAUAUGACCCAAAUCCAAAUCUCAACAAUAUCUGAUAAAAUAUGUCAUGGACCGCGGGUGCAUUUAUGUGACGUAGUUCAAGACGUAUUUUAAAGUAACUUUGAAAUCUUCAAAAAAAAUAUUUAAAUAAAAG